rnacentral:rRNA from 1 species
AAAUUGAAGAGUUUGAUCAUGGCUCAGAUUGAACGCUGGCGGCAGGCCUAACACAUGCAAGUCGAGCGGUAGCACAGAGAGCUUGCUCUCGGGUGACGAGCGGCGGACGGGUGAGUAAUGUCUGGGAAACUGCCUGAUGGAGGGGGAUAACUACUGGAAACGGUAGCUAAUACCGCAUAACGUCGCAAGACCAAAGUGGGGGACCUUCGGGCCUCAUGCCAUCAGAUGUGCCCAGAUGGGAUUAGCUAGUAGGUGGGGUAACGGCUCACCUAGGCGACGAUCCCUAGCUGGUCUGAGAGGAUGACCAGCCACACUGGAACUGAGACACGGUCCAGACUCCUACGGGAGGCAGCAGUGGGGAAUAUUGCACAAUGGGCGCAAGCCUGAUGCAGCCAUGCCGCGUGUGUGAAGAAGGCCUUCGGGUUGUAAAGCACUUUCAGCGGGGAGGAAGGCGNAAGGUUAAUAANNNNNCGAUUGACGUUACCCGCAGAAGAAGCACCGGCUAACUCCGUGCCAGCAGCCGCGGUAAUACGGAGGGUGCAAGCGUUAAUCGGAAUUACUGGGCGUAAAGCGCACGCAGGCGGUCUGUCAAGUCGGAUGUGAAAUCCCCGGGCUCAACCUGGGAACUGCAUUCGAAACUGGCAGGCUAGAGUCUUGUAGAGGGGGGUAGAAUUCCAGGUGUAGCGGUGAAAUGCGUAGAGAUCUGGAGGAAUACCGGUGGCGAAGGCGGCCCCCUGGACAAAGACUGACGCUCAGGUGCGAAAGCGUGGGGAGCAAACAGGAUUAGAUACCCUGGUAGUCCACGCCGUAAACGAUGUCGAUUUGGAGGUUGUGCCCUUGAGGCGUGGCUUCCGGAGCUAACGCGUUAAAUCGACCGCCUGGGGAGUACGGCCGCAAGGUUAAAACUCAAAUGAAUUGACGGGGGCCCGCACAAGCGGUGGAGCAUGUGGUUUAAUUCGAUGCAACGCGAAGAACCUUACCUGGUCUUGACAUCCACAGAACUUUCCAGAGAUGGAUUGGUGCCUUCGGGAACUGUGAGACAGGUGCUGCAUGGCUGUCGUCAGCUCGUGUUGUGAAAUGUUGGGUUAAGUCCCGCAACGAGCGCAACCCUUAUCCUUUGUUGCCAGCGGUNCGGCCGGGAACUCAAAGGAGACUGCCAGUGAUAAACUGGAGGAAGGUGGGGAUGACGUCAAGUCAUCAUGGCCCUUACGACCAGGGCUACACACGUGCUACAAUGGCAUAUACAAAGAGAAGCGACCUCGCGAGAGCAAGCGGACCUCAUAAAGUAUGUCGUAGUCCGGAUUGGAGUCUGCAACUCGACUCCAUGAAGUCGGAAUCGCUAGUAAUCGUAGAUCAGAAUGCUACGGUGAAUACGUUCCCGGGCCUUGUACACACCGCCCGUCACACCAUGGGAGUGGGUUGCAAAAGAAGUAGGUAGCUUAACCUUCGGGAGGGCGCUUACCACUUUGUGAUUCAUGACUGGGGUGAAGUCGUAACAAGGUAACCGUAGGGGAACCUGCGGUUGGAUCACCUCCUUA